rnacentral:misc_RNA from 1 species
GAUGAAGAACGUAGCGAAAUGCGAUAAGUAAUGUGAAUUGCAGAAUUCAGUGAAUCAUCGAAUCUUUGAACGCACAUUGCGCCCCUUGGUAUUCCGAGGGGCAUGCCUGUUCGAGCGUCAUUAUAACCCCUCAAGCUCAGCUUGGUGUUGGGGCCUGCCGCACGGGCAGCCCUUAAAAUCAGUGGCGGUGCCAUCUGGCUCUAAGCGUGGUAAUUCUUCUCGCUAUAGAGUCCCGGUGGAUGCUUGCCAUUAACCCCCAAUUUUCUAUGGUUGACCUCGGAUCAGGUAGGGAUACCCGCUGAACUUAAGCAUAUCAAUAAGCGGAGGA